UACGUAGGGUGCAAGCGUUAAUCGGAAUUACUGGGCGUAAAGCGUGCGCAGGCGGUGAUGUAAGACAGGUGUGAAAUCCCCGGGCUUAACCUGGGAACUGCAUUUGUGACUGCAUCGCUGGAGUGCGGCAGAGGGGAUGGAAUUCCGCGUGUAGCAGUGAAAUGCGUAGAUAUGCGGAGGAACACCGAUGGCGGAAGGCAAUCCCCUGGGCCUGCACUGACGCUCAUGCACGAAAGCGUGGGGAGCAACAGG
rnacentral:rRNA from 1 species